UAAAAUAAAAGCUUUUCAUUGCAUCUCAAUACAUGACAAUAAUAAACCAAUUCCAAUACCAACGUGGUACCUGCCCCAUAUCAGCACCCGGGAGCCCGGAAUGGAUGUGCAGGUGGGUGGACUUCGAGAUUGCCUCGUGCUGAGGAGAGAAAAAUAAAAGAGUACUUUUCAUUUGUUUAUUUUUGGUUUAUUUAGGAAUGGAAACAAUUCGCAGGGGAAUAUUUCCUGCGAAUUUUGAUGAAGAGCAUGCCACUGAGAGCACCUUAAUCCGAGAAAUGCUGUCGGUGGCUGCCAGUGAUCGACCAGAGGCGGCUGAGGUGAAGCAGAAGCUGGACCCGUCCCAUGAACAAACCAUUUAAGGGAACCAAGGAGUAAGAACCAUCUCGGAUUGGGAAGUCAAUCAGUCAGCAUCUUCUCUGCAGAGAAAUCUUGUCACACACUUUUUAAAGUUCACUUUUAGUACUUUUUUAUAUUAAUUGUAUCACGGCUGCAUUAAGCAACACACAGUGUCUAUUUUUAUCACGUCACGCUUGAUUUCUUGAGGUAGCUUAAUUGAAGGUUCCUAUCACUGCAACGGUCGGCUAGUUUUUGAACUAAUUUAAUGAUUGAUAGGUCAGCAAGUAUCUCAUCCACUCACCUCCCACCUCACUUCUUUGCCCUCCCCACUUCACCCUCUCACCCCCACUUCAUGCCUUGCCCAAUACCCUCAUCCACCCCCUCACCCCCACCACCACAUUGCCCAACAUCUCAUCAGCACGCCUACCACCCUCACCAACCCCCUCACAACCCCCCUCACUCCCUCACCCUCUCACCCACUCCACUGCCCAUCCCCAGACCCCUUCAUUAACCCCGCCCCCCAACUCACAGCUCUGGAGACCCGGGUUCAAUCCCAACCUCGGGUGCUGUCUGUGUGGAGUUUGCACGUUCUCCCUGUGGCCGGGUGGGAUUCCCCUGGUGCGCUCCCACAUCACCAUGUUGUACGGGUCGGUAGAUGAAUUGCUUGCUGUAAGUUGCCCUGAGUGUAGGUGGGAGGUGGGAAAUCAGGGGCAAAUGGGUGGGAUGUGACACAGAAUAGAUUAUAGGGAAAUAAAUGAAGAGAUGAGAUUGAAAGGAUUGCUGGCAUAGAUUCGAUGGGCCAAAUGGCCUCCUACUUUUUAAGGAAAAUAUGACAAUAUGCAAAAUAUAGGUGUCAGCUGGUGAUGGGUGGAGAACUUGUCCCUAGAAUGCCUUCUGGACAGCCAAGGCAUGGAGAGGACAUCGCCACUUGUGGAGGGAUAUAGAACCAGAGGUCUGUGGUAAAAAUAAGGAGGCAUUUUAAAACAGGAGUGAGACAAAGUCUUUUCUAUCAGAGGGUCCUGUGUCUUUGGAACUCUGUUCCUCAAAGGAUGGUGGAAGCAUCGUCUUCGAAUAAUUUUUGAGGCAGAGUUAGAUAGAUUCUUGAUAAGCGAAGGGGUUGGGGGGGGGGUGGGGGUGGAAUGAGAUUACUGGGGGUCAGUGGUAAACUGUAGUUGACGUUACAGUUAGAUGAGUUUGUUAAAUGGCGGGAUGGGCAAGAGGUGCAAGUGGCCUCUUCCGCUCUGAAUUCGUAGGUUUGUGUGAAGGUUUUCAUGUUCACAAGGCACAGUUUUAAAAUUUUAAAUCUCUGAUAUUCAGGGAUGAUUAAACUUGAGGGAAAUUAGUUUUUAAAAUAACAUUUUCUUAAAAUCAUCACAUUUAAUUAAAAAUGCUAAAAUUCUUAGAAAGCAUUAAACAAAAGUUUAAUUUUAAAAUGAAGAUAUAACCAUUCCAACCCUGUAGAGAACUCCCACUGAAAUGAGUUGGUCUGUGAUCUGGUGUGGGGUUGCCCUGUGUGUUGGGGACCAGCGAUAGAGUGAUCAGAUCCAUCCACUAGCAGCUGUCACUCACUGGGUUUCUGUAGAUCAGGGGGUGGGAACUGCAGUCUGAGUGGCUUGAAGCCACCAGAUCCCUUUGGAAUAGAUAGCUAUGUCCAGCAAGGUUCAGCCCCCUGUUCCAGGCCUUUCCAUUCCGGAGCCCAUUCGAUUCUUCCCAACAAUUGGAUCCCCCUUUGCUCCGGGUACUUCCCCGUGAACCUGUUUUGCCUCUUCCCCAACCCUGCAGUGCUUUCUCAAGCCAGUUCUUUGGUCAGGACUUGGCUCCUCUGAAGUGGUCCUUUUAUCAACAGGCAAAAACCUGGAGAUGAUGGAAAUCCGAAAUAAAAACGGAAAAUGCUGGAAACAUUCAGCAGGCCACGCAGCGUCUGUGGAGGGAAGAACAGAGUUAACUUUUCAGGUCAAUGACAUAAAUCAGGCUCAGGGAAAGGUUACAAAUCAAACGUGUUACAAGUCACAAGAGAAGGGGCAGGGGUGGAGGUCACUCUACGCAGGAGUCCUCCCCCUUUACAUCGGGGACCUGGGGUGGAGGGUGCUGCACUGGGCCGUGCCGUGCAACCGUUUCCUGAGCCGGUUCACCGACACCCUGGCACCCUGUCACUUUCGUGGCCAGGAGGAGACGGUGUACAUGGAGUGCGCGAGGUUGCAGCCCCUCUUCGCCUAUCUGAAGGGGUUGCUGCUCAAGUUCUGGCUGCACUUCAGCCCGAUGCUGCUGAUCUACGGUCACCCGGUGCGGCGGGCCGUUCAGGGGACAUCCUGGUGGGUCUUCUGGGCCUGGCCGAGCUGGCUGUCUGGGGUCCCGGCGACGGGCGGCCGAGGGUUCCAGCCGGUCCGCCUGCCUGCCCGUCUUCCAGGCUUAUGUCCGCGCAUGGGUGUCCUUGGAGAGGGAGCACGCGGUAUCUGCGGGCACUCUGGGUGAGUUCCACGAUCGGUGGGCCCCUCGGGAUCGCGUGUGUCGUGGACGGUGAGAAUGUGAUUCUUCUCUGAAGUGUUGCAUGGCCGUUUAGUGGUUGUUAGUGUUAUUGCUGUAGAUACCUUUGUGUAGUUUGCAUAGCUUUUCUUCUACUUUCUUGUAUUAGUUGUAGUAGUUUUGACACUGGAUGUUCUUUUGUAGUGCUUUUAGCAAAUAAAUGUUCAUAAAUUUUUAAGAAAAGGGGCAGGGGUGGAGACGACAGAGGGAAUGUCUGUGAUAGGAUGGAGACCGAGAGAGAUUAAAUGUGGGGGCAGUGCUGGCUGGGAGAAGGCGGUGCAGGUAAUGGUCCAGAGGAGAUUGGUGACUGCAAAUCCACAAUAAACUGAACAUCUUGAGUGAAUCCAAAAUGGGAAGGGAGGAACUCACAUGGAAUGUCGGAACUGGAGACAUCUGCUGGGGAAAGAAACCAGCCGUGGAAGAUAAUUUUGGCCUACACCUUCUUGAAAACAAGAGAUGUAGAAGCCUUGAAUGCAGACAAGUAAGAGGGAAGAGAAGUCCCAUCAGAGAGGGGAGCAAAGCUUUCUCAGGGUGGCUGUUCCUGUAGAAGUGGCAGUCAUUCCAGCAGUAAUUGGGAACCGAAAUUCUCUCCUCACUUCUCAUGCAUUUCCCACUAUUUAUACCUCUUUCAGACAGAUCAGCUGUGAUUAACGAGCCUUCACCAGUGCGCCACGGUGACGUAGCAGGUAGGGCUGCUGCCUCACAGCUCCAGAGACCUGGGUUCGAUCCCAACCUCCGGUGCUGUCUAUGUGGAGUUUGCACAUUCUCCCUGUGACCACGUGUGUUUCCCCCGGGUGCUCCGGUUUCCUCCCACAACCCUAAGACGUAUGGGUUUCUAGGUUAAUGACCACUAUAAAUUGCCCCUAAUGUGUAGGUAAGUGGUCGAAUCUGGAGGAGUUAGAACAGAGAACACUACAGCACAGUACAGGCCCGUCGGCCCACAGUGUUGUGCCGACAUUUUAUCCUGCUCUAAGAUCUAUCUAACCCUUCCCUCCCACAUAGCCCUCCAUUUCUCUAUCAUUCAUGUGUUGGUGAGGAUUUGGUGUCACAAAUAAAGGGGUUAAUGUCAGAUCAGUGUAAGUGGGUGGUUGGCACGGACUCAUUGGGCUGAAGGUCCAGUUUCCAUGCUAUGUCUCUCUGUGACCACCCUGUCCCAGCCAGCACGACCACUACUGGUGUCAUUGAGUCUCUCUCGGUGCCCACCCUAUCACAGACAUUCCCCUCUCCAGCCCUGCCCCUUCUCUGUGACUUAAAACACAUUUGAUUUGUAACCUUUUCCAGGUGUGAUGAUGAAUCCUUGAUCUGAAACAUUAACUCUGUUCCUCCCUCCACAGGCGCCGCUUGAGCAGCUGAGUGUUUCUGCCACUCUCUGAUUUUAUUUCAGAUUUCCAGCAUCUGUGGGUUUUUGCUUUUGGACAAAGGGCCAUCGAGUGAAGCUUGGAGGAGCCGAGUCCUAACCAAAGAACCAGCUUGAGACUACACUGUGAGGUGGGGGAAGAGGCAGGACGGGUUUACGGGGAAGUGUCUGGGACAGAGAGGAUCCGGUUGUUGGGAAGGAUCUCCACAGAUCCUGCCUGACCUGCUGAUGUUCAUCCUUCAGCCGUUCACCUGUCUUGACCCUCGGGUUUGACACAUUGUUGGGCGGUAGGAGUGGAUGCCCAGGGGUUGUAGUUUCCCCCAGUGCCACACUCCCAGCUCGCCUGCCCCCGCUCCACUCCACUGCCCAGCCUCACCCCCCCCCCAACACUCAACCUCCUCAUUUUACCCCUCCAGCUGCAGUGUGUGGGCAGGCGCGGUAGUGUAGUGGUUACCGUAACACUAUUACAGUGCCAGAGACCUGGGUUCAAUUCCGGCUGCUGUCUGUAAGAAGUUUGUAUGUUCUCUCCGUGUCUGCAUGGGUUUCCUCUGGGUGCUCUGAGCUGUAGGAUGCAGUAACCUUACAGUGAAUAUGAUUAAAGAACAGUCAAACGAGUUAACAUACAAAACACAAUUGAUCUGUAGCAUGACGGAGAAAGCUUUCACUUUCAAUCCAAGGCCAGAAAUUGGAGUGGGUGUUUGAUUCCGCUUUUAAAUUGGUACCAAAGGGCCCUAGUGAUCAUCACUGCAGCAAAUUAGAGUAAUCUUCCUCGGACGAUAAUUUGCACACCCAGCUUCUGGCUCUGGUGUGGUCACUACCUGUGGGCGUGGUGGAAGAUCAAAGGCAGGAGGUCUCCAGGUCAUCUAGGGUAACAUGGGUGCCAGGGAUGGUAUCGGCCCCUGUUCAGAACAGCCCAGUGUUUUAAAUUCCACUGUAAGGGGACACAUAAGUCUAGAUGAAGGUUCUCGACCCGAAACGUUGACUGUCCACUUCCCUCCACAGAUGCUGCCUGACCCGCUGAGUCCCUCCAGCAGCUCAUAGUUUGCCCCGCACUAUAUGGGUGUGCUUGGCCCUGAAGAGGAUGACUGGCAAAGACAGUAGCCGAGCACGGACCCUGGUAGACCAGGGCCACUGGUUGCAGCUCUAGCUGCAAGAUAGUGUAGCGGUUAGCGUAAUGUUAUUACAGCGCCAGCGACCCGGGUUCAAUUCCUGCCGCUGUCUGUAAGGAGUUUGUAUGUUCUCCUCGUGUCUGCGAGGGCUUCCUCCGGGUGCUCUGGUUUCCUCCCACAUUCCAAAGGUGUACGGGUUAGGAAGUUGCGGGCAUGCUACGUUGGCGACACUUGCGGGCUGCCCCCAGAACACUCUACGCAAAAGAUGCAUUUCACUGUGUUUCAACGUACAUGUGACUAAUAAAGAAAUCUCACCCUGCU